rnacentral:rRNA from 1 species
UGGGGAAUAUUGGACAAUGGGCGAAAGCCUGAUCCAGCCAUGCCGCGUGUGUGAAGAAGGUCUUCGGAUUGUAAAGCACUUUAAGUUGGGAGGAAGGGCAGUAAGCGAAUACCUUGCUGUUUUGACGUUACCGACAGAAUAAGCACCGGCUAACUCUGUGCCAGCAGCCGCGGUAAUACAGAGGGUGCAAGCGUUAAUCGGAAUUACUGGGCGUAAAGCGCGCGUAGGUGGUUCGUUAAGUUGAAUGUGAAAGCCCCGGGCUCAACCUGGGAACUGCAUCCAAAACUGGCGAGCUAGAGUAGGGCAGAGGGUGGUGGAAUUUCCUGUGUAGCGGUGAAAUGCGUAGAUAUAGGAAGGAACACCAGUGGCGAAGGCGACCACCUGGGCUCAUACUGACACUUAGGUGCGAAAGCGUGGGGAGCAAACAGG